rnacentral:rRNA from 1 species
GCGACCUCCGGGCCGACAGGCGAGGGAAUACGGAGGGUGCAAGCGUUAAUCGGGAGUACUGGGCGUAAAGCGUGCGCAGGCGGCUUAUUAAGUCAGAUGUGAAAUCCCUAGGCUCAACCUAGGAACUGCAUUUGAAACUAAUAAACUAGAGUAUCGGAGAGGGAGGUAGAAUUCCAGGUGUAGCGGUGAAAUGCGUAGAUAUCUGGAGGAAUACCAGUGGCGAAGGCGACCUCCUGGACGAAAACUGACGCUCAAGCACGAAAGCAUGGGGAGCAAACAGGAUUAGAUACCCGGGUAGUC